rnacentral:misc_RNA from 1 species
AACCUUAUGGACCUGCGGGCGUAUACCUGCGGAGGGAUCAUUAUAGAGUUUUCUAAACUCCCAACCCAUGUGAACUUACCUUUUGUUGCCUCGGCAGAAGUUAUAGGUCUUCUUAUAGCUGCUGCCGGUGGACCAUUAAACUCUUGUUAUUUUAUGUAAUCUGAGCGUCUUAUUUUAAUAAGUCAAAACUUUCAACAACGGAUCU